rnacentral:lncRNA from 1 species
UGUUUCAUUAAUGUCCCCAGCAGCAGGUAUGGCCACUGCUUUGCACUGCCACCACCAGGGUCAUUGCAUUCAAGGCUGAUGGGACAACUGCCACAUGUCUAGCAAGUCAGGACUAGUCUCCUGGCCAGCACUCAGCAGUGUCUGGAUAUUAAUGACACAGACUUGAACAUUUAUCACACAAGGAACCAUAGGCUACGAUGUGUGGCCAGUGAACAGGCUCAAAGGUACUCCACAGUGUGCAAGGCAGGGUGCUGAAUUGUUGGAACAGGCCUGAACCACUGUUUCCUUUAUCAUUUUCAAAGUUUCAGGGAUCAUUGAGGAAGAG